ACCACCCUUUUCUCUGGGUUGCACCACUGUCCAAUGAGCGUGUAGUGUGAGUGCAGUGCUGUUAACGCCUAAAUAACACACUCGCAUCAGCUAGGGCUCUGCUUUGCCUUGGUGCGAUUUUUGGAAAA